ensembl:lncRNA
GUUUUUUUUUUUAUUAUUUAUUUUAUUUUUUAAAUAAAAUUGUUUACAGAUUUUUAGCAAAUCUGUUCCCUCAAGUUUUUUUUUAUAUUAUUUAUUUAUUUACAGAUUUUAGCAAAUCUGUUCCCUCAAUGUUUAUAAAUCCGUUCCCUCAGUGUUUAUAAAUCCGUUCCCUCCGUUUUUAUAAAUCCGUUCCCUCAGUUUUUAUAAAUCCGUUCCCUCAGUGUUUAUAAAUCCGUUCCCUCAGUGUUUAUAAAUCCGUUCCCUCAGUGUUUAUAAAU